ACUUGCCUGGCCUGUGUCCAAGCGCCCUUUAUAAACCCUUCCAAAACCCCCUUCCCCUAUCAAAUUAGUAGGCUUGAAGUUUCGUGUUGCAGUUGCAAGGUCAUGAAAUGUAAAACUACGGGCAGCAGUAGAAUUAGAUUUGAUGUCCUUGCCUUAGUUGAACUAAGAAGUCCGCUGAAAUUUGGAGGUUAUUUGCAUCUGAAUUCUGAUUUUAAUGGU